rnacentral:rRNA from 1 species
GAGUAAGUCGUUCGAAUGCGAAAGCAGCUAUCAAGGAUACACCCGUUGAUCAAGGGCGAAAGUUAAGGGCUCGAAGACGAUCAGAUACCGUCGUAGUCUUAACUAUAAAUUUUACUGACUAGGGAUAGGACUCCGUCCAUCUCGACUCCUUCUGGAUCUUUGAGAAAUUAUAGUCUUUGAGUUCUGGGGGGAGUAUGGUCGCAAGGCUGAAACUUAAAGGAAUUGACGGAAGGGCACACAAAGAGUGGAACCUGCGGCUUAAUUUGACUCAACACGGGAAAACUCACCAGGUCCRGAUACACGUAUGAAAGACAAGCUGAAAGACUUUUCUCAAUGAUGUAAGUGGUGGUGCAUGGUCGUUCUUAGUUCGUGGAUUGAUUUGUCUGGUCUAUUCCGAUAACGAGCGAGAUCCUAGCGUUCUUAAUAGGGGUUUAAGCCAAGUUUCGGGUAGAAAUACCCUUUUCUAGCUUUAAUUUAUUGCUUCUUAGACGUAUCAGAGCCGAUAAGGUUCUUGAAAUAGGUUAAUAACAGGUCAGUCAUGCCCUUAGAUGUUCUGGGCCGCACGCGCGUUACAAUGGUACACAUAGAAAGUGCCUAUUUUCGGGUUCUCUCCGGGUCCUAACGGCUUCGGUAAACAAUAAUCUUUUCCCUGACUGGGAUAGACUAUUGCAAUUAUUGGUCUUCAACGAGGAAUUUUUAGUAGUCGCAGGUCAUUAUCCUGCGUCGAAUGCGUCC